rnacentral:sRNA from 1 species
AAUUUAUUGUAGUACCUCAACGUUCACUCUCUGCUGCAGAAAAUUCAUUGGAGUUGCAUGUACCUACUCUGUGUAGUGAAUUUGUUGGUUGCAUUUCUUGUGUGGAGUUACUUUGUUUGAUUGUUGUUCAGGAUUUUGAAAAGUGAAGGAAGUUUUUUUCUUAUCUGCAAAUUUUGUUGCUGUGAAGUUAUGUUCAUGAAUUGUAAGUGGGAUUUUUUUUACAUUUCAAUUUCUUUCUCCAACAAAUUCAGUACAAAAUAAACAUUUACAUUAAAAUUUGCACUGAUCUUACAGUAUUACAAUUGAUUGGGUUUUUAAAGAGAUAUUUUAUCAAGACUAUGGAUUUUUUUUUGUCGAAGUAACUAUCUACUAUCUAGUUUAUGCAUCAAAACAAGUUGAAUUGGACACUAGCCUCAAGUGAAAUAUGUACCAAGUACAUGAGCACAGGUUUAGAUUCUGAAAUUUUUUUGUUGAUAUCAAUUUCCCACUGAUUUAAUAAAUAGUUUUCAAUAAAUUUAACAGAGCAAAUUUAAAUUUGUUCUAAGACAAACUACCUUAAGUUCAUGGUUUAGUAAAAUGACUCUUUAUUUGUGUGACACCAUCUGUUCAAAGUCAAUUUAUCUGUACUGAGAAAAAAAUAUAAUUGAUAUUGCAUGUUGUUUUUUCCUUAUGACAAAUUUAUAACCUAAACAUUACUUCCAGUGAAAG